GUGUCUUAGCAUGUUCAACAAAUCUUUUGACACCCUUAACAAAGUCCUCCAUAAUACCCAUUUUAUUAUCAUGGUCCCGGUGAUAUAUCGAGCUAUAAUCAUCUUCCAUCUACGCAAUCAAUCAGAUUCAACUAAUUAGAUUAAGCAGUUUGAACAAAUAAAGUCACCAACAACAUUACCUUCUAAACAAAAGUUCACUUUUAAAGUCACCAAAAGUUAAGCAUUUUCAACAAAUAAAG
rnacentral:lncRNA from 1 species